rnacentral:tRNA from 1 species
GUCUUUCUAGUAUAUAAGUACAUUUAACUUCCAAUUAAAAAGAUUGAUAAAAUUAUCAAGAAAAACA